CCCUUAGUUUGAUCCUGGCUCAGGAUGAACGCUAGCUACAGGCUUAACACAUGCAAGUCGAGGGGCAGCAUGAACUUAGCUUGCUAAGUUUGAUGGCGACCGGCGCACGGGUGAGUAACACGUAUCCAACCUUCCGUUUACUCAGGGAUAGCCUUUCGAAAGAAAGAUUAAUACCUGAUAGUAUGGUGAGAUUGCAUGAUAACACCAUUAAAGAUUUAUUGGUAAACGAUGGGGAUGCGUUCCAUUAGGUAGUAGGCGGGGUAACGGCCCACCUAGCCUGCGAUGGAUAGGGGUUCUGAGAGGAAGGUCCCCCACAUUGGAACUGAGACACGGUCCAAACUCCUACGGGAGGCAGCAGUGAGGAAUAUUGGUCAAUGGGCGAGAGCCUGAACCAGCCAAGUAGCGUGAAGGAUGAAGGUCCUACGGAUUGUAAACUUCUUUUAUACGGGAAUAAAGUUUCCUACGUGUAGGAUUUUGUAUGUACCGUAUGAAUAAGCAUCGGCUAACUCCGUGCCAGCAGCCGCGGUAAUACGGAGGAUGCGAGCGUUAUCCGGAUUUAUUGGGUUUAAAGGGAGCGCAGACGGGAGAUUAAGUCAGUUGUGAAAGUUUGCGGCUCAACCGUAAAAUUGCAGUUGAUACUGGUUUCCUUGAGUGCAGUUGAGGCAGGCGGAAUUCGUGGUGUAGCGGUGAAAUGCUUAGAUAUCACGAAGAACCCCGAUUGCGAAGGCAGCUUGCUAAACUGUAACUGACGUUCAUGCUCGAAAGUGUGGGUAUCAAACAGGAUUAGAUACCCUGGUAGUCCACACGGUAAACGAUGGAUACUCGCUGUUGGCGAUAUACUGUCAGCGGCCAAGCGAAAGCAUUAAGUAUCCCACCUGGGGAGUACGCCGGCAACGGU
rnacentral:rRNA from 1 species